rnacentral:rRNA from 1 species
CCUACGGGGGGCUGCAGUAACGAAUAUUGGGCAAUGGGCGCAAGCCUGACCCAGCGACGCCGCGUGGAGGAUCAAGUCCUUCGGGAUGUAAACUCCUGUCAGGGGCUAGAAAGUUCUGAUCAACCCCAGAGGAAGUGGCGGCUAACUCUGUGCCAGCAGCCGCGGUAAGACAGAGGCCACAAGCGUUAGGCGGAAUCACUGGGCUUAAAGCGUGUGUAGGCGGAUCGUUAAGUGCCUUGUGAAAUCCCCCGGCUCACCCGGGGAAUGGCUGGGCAGACUGGCGGUCUUGAGCCAUCUAGGGGCGACUGGAACAAACGGUGGAGCGGUGAAAUGCGUAGAUAUCGUUUGGAACGCCAACGGUGAAAACAGGUCGCUGGGGAUGCGCUGACGCUGAGACACGAAAGCCAGGGGAGCAAACGGGAUUAGAUACCCCUGUAGUC